GACGAACGCUGGCGGCGUGCUUAACACAUGCAAGUCGAACGCUGAAGCUCAGCUUUUGUUGGGUGGAUGAGUGGCGAACGGGUGAGUAACACGUGAGUAACCUGCCUCCUUCUUUGGGAUAACGCCCGGAAACGGGUGCUAAUACUGGAUAUUCACUGGUCUUCGCAUGGGGGUUGGUGGAAAGGGUUUUUCUGGUGGGGGAUGGGCUCGCGGCCUAUCAGCUUGUUGGUGGGGUGAUGGCCUACCAAGGCUUUGACGGGUCGCCGGCCUGAGAGGGUGACCGGUCACAUUGGGACUGAGAUACGGCCCAGACUCCUACGGGAGGCAGCAGUGGGGAAUAUUGCACAAUGGGCGCAAGCCUGAUGCAGCGACGCAGCGUGAGGGAUGGAGGGCUUGGGGUUGUGAACCUCUUUCGCUCAUGGUCAAGCCGCAACAAUGGUUGUGGUGAGGGUAGUGGGUAAAGAAGCGCCGGCUAACUACGUG
rnacentral:rRNA from 1 species